GCAGUGGUGGUGUAGUGGUGAGCAUCGCUGCCUUCUACGCAGUUGAUCUGGGUUCGAUUCCCGGCCAUCGCA